ensembl:lncRNA
CCAAAGUCACAGUCUUUUUUAGUGAUUUCUAAAGAAUCCUCUACUCCCAGAAACUCUUUGACAUUUGAGCGCAUCGUAUGAGACAGGGGAUGUUUGCAAAGACUGGACUCCUUUAGAGCACUGAAAAGCACCUCUAAGGGUGGAGACUUUAUUUUAGCACCCGACUUUGUUCCUAAACUUUCCCUAAGUUCAUCUGUACGGGUGGUCAUGGAAUCCUCGGUAACUUCAUAUGUAGGGGUGGUCAUGGGAUCCUCCUGCAUCUGCCUCGUCUCACUGCUCUCCUUCACCUGUUCAGGGACAGGGUCUGAAGCCUUCUCUGAAGAUGCUUGAGUUUUCAUCUUCACAUCUAUUGACUCUGUGACUCCCGUCCUGUCAUUUCCCUCACUUUCACAUUCAGAAUCACUACUGCUACUAUAUGCUACUAAGCCGAUGGCUGGAUGAGACAAUAUUUUUGCACCGACCUUAGUCUCUAAAUGUUCAUUAACUUUAUCUGUAUAGGUGGUCAUGGAAUUUUCCUGCAUUUCCUGUGUCUCAGUGCUCUGUUUUAGUAGUUCAGGUAUGGGGUCUGCAGACUUUUUAUAUGCAUCCAUCUUGCUCGCUACACUCUCACUAACUUGAUAUGUAGGGAUGGUCACGGAAUCAUUCUGCUCCUCAUGUUUCUCUCUACUCUGGUUCACCUGCUUAUGGAUGGGGUCUGAAGCUUUCUCAGGGGAAGCUGGAGGAUACAUUUGUGUGUCAGGCUCGGUGUUGACAUACUCACUAAAUUCAUCUGUUGGGGUGGUAAUGGAAUUAUUCUGGUUCACCUGCUUAUGGAUGGGGUCUGAAGCUUUCUCAGGGGAUGCUGGAGGAGACAUUUUUAUGUCAGGCUUAGUGUUGACACUCUCACUAAAUUCAUCUGUUGGGGUGGUCAUGGAAUUAUCCUGCACCUCAUACGUCUCACUGCUCCGCUUCAUCUGUCCAGAUUGUUCAGGUAAGGGUUCUGAAGACAUUUGAGUUUCCAUCUUCACAUCUCUCUGGGUCUCUGGGCCUCUGGUGGACUCUCUGACUCUUUUCCUUUUAUUUUCCUCAAUUUCAGAAUGACUACCAUAAGACGCAGAGGGUAUACCAUAAUUGUGAUCCCUCUGCACAGGGUCUGAGAGCAAUACUUCUUCAUUCAGGUUAGACUGUGACCCUUUACGCUUACCUCGAUCCCCAUUAGAGUAUUUUCUGAUGCAAUGUGGUUUAUGAGUUCUGAUAAGCUCCUCAUCGGACUCUGUGGAAGCAGUUUUGAAGAUCUUGGCUGGUCUUUUUAGGGUUCCUUUAGAGUUGGGAUUCUUUGAGGAGGCACUUGUGGCUUUCAGCAGCUUGGCGUUCUUUACAGGUGGAUUGAACUUGGUCCUAGUCCUGGCCUUUUGAGUUGAUUUUGUCUUGGAGGAAUGGCGGCUGGACCCUGCAGGUUUAUUUCCCUCUUUUAGUUCUGCAGGGGGCUUUUUCUUAUUCCUUCUCCACAAAGGUGCUUCUCUUUGGGGGUUGCUUGACGUUGCAGAGGCUGGUGUCGUUUUGUUGGAUGGCAUGGCGACUUCGUUCUGAUCCUCCUUUCUUCUCUUCGCUUGAGGAGCCUGAAAAGACUUGUGUCUUUUAGGGGCAGGCAUU